AAUUGUUAUGAUUGAUAUUUUAAUUUUAUUGAACAUCUUAGCUCUCGGUCUUCCGGUCGAAAAACGACGUUGCCCUUGUUGUGAUUCUAUGAGUGUGUUAGUGUGUGCGGCCUAACGAGUUUGUGUAAUUGGUAACUUCCAUUUAUGGAAGGAGUCUUUCGUCUGAGUUGUGGUGCAUCUCAAUUUUAAUGAAAGAGUGUUUUUCAACUGACCCCACUUAUUCUUUCCAUAUAAAAUGGGUCUUGAAAGGAAGCUCAACAACGGCUCAAGGAGAUGGAAAGAAAAGGCUUUACUAUUUCCACAAGCACCAUUGAAGCUCAAACAAGAUGGGUCUCCAAAUGAAGCUGUAAAACUGCUCAAGGAGAAGCAUAUGAAAAAGAAUUUGGGGGAUCAGGGAAAAGAACUGAACAAGAGCUCCCACAAAACAAAAAAAGUGAGGCCGCAAAUACCAAUGGAACCAACAAGAAGCCCGCGAGCAUUCGUAGGAAUCCAGUUAAAAAAGCAACAAAUAGCCACCAUGUUGGGGUUUUCGAGUGCAACAACCGUGCUCAAGGGACAGGCUGCGAUAUUGAAGACAAUGAGGUUGUUGAUGCAACAAAUAGCCACCAUGUUGGGGUUUUCAAAUGUGGCAACGAGUCCAAAGAGCCAAAUUAAUUUCAACAUUUCUCAUCUGUCCUUUGUGUGCUUAGUGUUGCUCUGCUUCGCUAUGUAUAAAAUAAAUUGUGGUUGUGUUACGUGUAUUGUUAUUUGCUUGUUUUGGUUGGUUGGAUUGUCUCUUGCUAUGAGUGACGUAUAUUUUUAUUUUACUUUUUGGUUUGAAAAAUAACUUCCUCUACAGGAAGGACAACAUUUCGUAUUGCUUUUUUUGGAGGAUUGAUGAGUUUUUAUGGUUGUCAAAGUUUGAAUUUGAGCGUUCGUUCUUGUUGCUAGUCUUCUUAAAUUGCUGUCUAGCAAAAACUAAAUGAAAGCUUGUAUUGUGGUCAUCGUUCUUUUUGCUAAUCUUGUUAA